UGGUUUAGGCGCUCAAACUUUUUCUUUUCAGCCGACAUAUUUUCUUUCCCCCUUUUUCAUCAGCCAUCACACAUUCACAAACCCUAAAACUCAUCUAAUGCAUCGGUGGCGAUAUCAUCUUAUAAUCCGAUUCAGUGCCUAUCAAAAGCUUUUCAUUUCACAAUUAUGUUGAAUCUAUCUAUCGAUCUCACACUGUCUCUUGAAAAAACUAACCAGUUCUCUUCCCACAAUCGGUAUUAUUACGUGUUCCUGCAAAGAAGGUUUCAAUCUUUCAUCGCAAACCCUAAUCGCAAAGAGUUCACUUAAUUGGACACUCAGCAAUAUGAAAUGCAAUUUUCUACAGAUCCACAUGAAGCUGGUUAGCAAAAGCGAGAAGGAGAGGAUGAAGAAGCUAGAGGAGGUGAGCAAGAGCAUCGAAACCAUACAAUAAGUUAAUGAUGGGUUUAUUAAUCAGAUAAUUAGAUUUUGACCCCUAAUCGACUAAUUGGAUCGGUAAGUUAUGAUAACCCUCGAACUCUUAAUUGCAUCUAUAUUCUCACACUUUUUUGUUUCCGGGAGGUUACACCGCAUCUUCAAUUUGGAUCAUGAUUUUUGAUACACAAGGUAUGAUUCGUAUUACACAGAUCACAGUAAUUGUUCUCCGGAUUCCAUCUCUUUUACAAGAUUCAAUCUUUGGUUGAUGGAAAGUUUUGAUCUUUCGUUUAUUCGAAGUGGUAAUUGGUGUAUGAUGAAGUUACAUGUCCAGGGUUUUGUGUAGAUUAUUAGGCUCCGUUUUGUUGUUUUCAGUUUUGUAUAUUUUAAGAGGUUGUUGAUGGUUAAUUAGAGGCAAUUAAAAGAGGAUCUUUUUGGGGGAAUUUGUGGUUUAUGUGCCAAAAUAAAGUAUGGUUGUUGGCACUGGCUUUUCGACUUCAUGUGUAAUAGUGGAAGAUGGUUUUAGUUAUGGUGUUUCUUUUGGGAUUGAAGAGAAGUCACAUAAUUCAGAACAAUAUCAGUUAUUCACCAUAGUAUAAGCACUACAAUGCUGAUGAAAUGAACAACGAGUGGAAGCUUUUAUAAAGGAAGUUAAUGAGGAUAUGAGAUUAUAUUAACAAGAACUUUGAAUCAAUACAUGGAGACGGAUCAAUGCGGUCCAUUAAGUGAACGGCCAAAGUGCUUUGUGUCCAGUUCAUUGUUUUCUGACAGGUAGUAUAGUGGAUAAUGUUCCAAAAGAAGUAGUACUUUCCUAUUUUCUUUUUCAAUUUUGAUUUCCUGUUGUUAUUUAUUCCGAAUUAACCAGUUUCUGUUUAGAUAUAUUCUUCAGACUUGUGCAGUUGUGCCCAUGUUAUCAAAUCAUAUAUGAGGACCUUUAUCAUGCACACCAAGUGUUUGAGGAUAUGUUAAGGAGAGGAUAUUAUCCGGAUGUUGUAACUUGCACAAUGUCACACCCCGACCACGUAAAACAACAAAACAUGGCGGAAUCGUCGGGGAGUGUUGUAACAGAAUCAUUGUUUCAUAACACAUGGAAAAUUGAAAUUUUGUUUUAUUGGAUUAAAUGUAUUACAAUGUCUUAACAAAGAAAAUAUAACAGAUGCCACGUGGCAUCUAAUUGCUUCUCCAAUUCUU